AGAACGGACGCUGGCGGCAUGCCUAAUACAUGCAAGUCGAACGAACUCUUCGGAGUUAGUGGCGCACGGGUGCGUAACGCGUGGGAAUCUGCCCCUUGGUUCGGAAUAACAGUUGGAAACGACUGCUAAUACCGGAUGAUGACGAAAGUCCAAAGAUUUAUCGCCAAGGGAUGAGCCCGCGUAGGAUUAGCUAGUUGGUGAGGUAAAGGCUCACCAAGGCAACGAUCCUUAGCUGGUCUGAGAGGAUGAUCAGCCACACUGGGACUGAGACACGGCCCAGACUCCUACGGGAGCAGCAGUAGGGAAUAUUGGACAAUGGGCGAAAGCCUAGACCCAGCAAUGCCGCGUGAGUGAGUGAAGGUCCUUAAGGGUUAGUAAAGUCCUUACGUUUUAACCCGGAGUAUAGAUUAAUGAACAGUAGUCGGGAAGAACGUAACGCCCCGGUACUAACCGUCCGUGCCAGCAGCCGC
rnacentral:rRNA from 1 species